rnacentral:rRNA from 1 species
UACGUAGGGUCCGAGCGUUGUCCGGAAUUAUUGGGCGUAAAGAGCUCGUAGGCGGUUUGUCGCGUCUGCUGUGAAAUCCCGAGGCUCAACCUCGGGUCUGCAGUGGGUACGGGCAGACUGGAGUGCGGUAGGGGAGAAUGGAAUUCCUGGUGUAGCGGUGGAACGCGCAGAUAUCAGGAGGAACACCGAUGGCGAAGGCAGUUCUCUGGGCCGUAACUGACGCUGAGGAGCGAAAGCGUGGGGAGCGAACAGG